rnacentral:tRNA from 1 species
AAUUGGAAAGCGAAAAAUCGCAUUUAGUUUCGGCCUAAACUUUGGUAUUCCCCUUACCUCCAAUUU